GCUGUGGCUCAAUGGCAAAGCAUCUGCUUCGUACACAGAAGGUCCCAGGUUCUAACCCCAGCAUCUCCU
rnacentral:tRNA from 1 species